AACGAACGCUGGCGGCAGGCCUAACACAUGCCAGUCGAGCGGACCCUUCGGGGUUAGCGGCGGACGGGUGAGUAACGCGUGGGAAUAUGCCCUUCUCUACGGAAUAGUCCUGGGAAACUGGGGGUAAUACCGUAUACGCCCUUUGGGGGAAAGAUUUAUCGGGGAAGGAUUAGCCCGCGUUGGAUUAGGUAGUUGGUGGGGUAAUGGCCUACCAAGCCGACGAUCCAUAGCUGGUUUGAGAGGAUGAUCAGCCACACUGGGACUGAGACACGGCCCAGACGACCACGGGAGGCAGGAGGAGGGAGACUAAGACAAUGGGGGCCACCGUGAUCGAGCAGGGCCGCGUGGGUGAUGAGGGCGUGAGUGUUGCAAAGCGCUGGCAGGGGGAAAGAUAAGGGCGGUACAAGCAGAAGAACCCCCGGCAAACUCCGUGCAAGCCGCCGGGUAAACAGACAAAGAGAACACGUCUGACC
rnacentral:rRNA from 1 species